AGCCUGAUCCAGCAAUGCCGCGUGCAGGAAGAAGGCCUUCGGGUUGUAAACUGCUUUUGUACGGAACGAAAAGGUCUGCCCUAAUACGGCGGGCCCAUGACGGUACCGUAAGAAUAAGCACCGGCUAACUACGUGCCAGCAGCCGCGGUAAUACGUAGGGUGCGAGCGUUAAUCGGAAUUACUGGGCGUAAAGCGUGCGCAGGCGGUGAUGUAAGACAGUUGUGAAAUCCCCGGGCUCAACCUGGGAAUUGCAUCUGUGACUGCAUCGCUAGAGUACGGUAGAGGGGGAUGGAAUUCCGCGUGUAGCAGUGAAAUGCGUAGAUAUGCGGAGGAACACCGAUGGCGAAGGCAAUCCCCUGGACCUGUACUGACGCUCAUGCACGAAAGCGUGGGGAGCAAACAGGAUUAGAUACCCUGGUAGUCCACGCCCUAAACGAUGUCAACUGGUUGUUGGGUGCAUUAGUACUCAGUAACGAAGCUAACGCGUGAAGUUGACCGCCUGGGGAGUACGGCCGCAAGGUUGAAACUCAAA
rnacentral:rRNA from 1 species